rnacentral:rRNA from 1 species
CAGCAGCCGCGGGAAUACGAAGGGUGCAAGCGUUACUCGGAAUUACUGGGCGUAAAGCGUGCGUAGGUGGUGGUUUAAGUCCGUUGUGAAAGCCCUGGGCUCAACCUGGGAAUUGCUGUUGAUACUGGGUCACUAGAGUGUGGUAGAGGAUAGUGGAAUUUCAGGUGUAGCAGUGAAAUGCGUGUAGAUCGGAAGGAACAUCUGUGGCGAAGGCGACUAUCUGGGCCAACACUGACACUGAGGCACGAAAGCGUGGGGAGCAAAAAGGAUUAGAUACCCCUGUAGUCCCUGUCUCUUAUAA